rnacentral:tRNA from 1 species
UGUGGCUCUGUAGGCAGAGUGCUUGCCUAGCAACCAUGAAUUCCUGGGUUCCAUUCCCAGCA